GGCUCAGGAUGAACGCUAGCUACAGGCUUAACACAUGCAAGUCGAGGGGGCAUCAGGGUGUGGCAACACACCGCUGGCGACCGGCGCACGGGUGAGUAACACGUAUCCAACCUGCCCUGAGCCCGGGGAUAGCCCUCUGAAAGGAGGAUUAAUACCCGAUAGUGUUGUUUGCAGGCAUCUGCAUUCGACUAAAGAUUCAUCGGCUCUCGAUGGGGAUGCGUCCGAUUAGCUUGUUGGCGGGCAACGGCCCACCAAGGCGACGAUCGGUAGGGGUUCUGAGAGGAAGGUCCCCCACAUAGGAACUGAGACACGGUCCUAACUCCUACGGGAGGCAGCAGUGAGGAAUAUUGGUCAAUGGCCGCAAGGCUGAACCAGCCAAGUAGCGUGAGGGAUGACUGCCCUAUGGGUUGUAAACCUCUUUUAUGCGGGGAUAAAACGCCGUACGUGUACGGCGCUGCAUGUACCGCAUGAAUAAGCAUCGGUUAAUUCCGUGCCAGCAGCAGC
rnacentral:rRNA from 1 species